UCGAGUAUUCUAUAUUAUGUCGUAACCAUGUAUAGUAUAGUCAUGUAUUGGAUGAAAUCCAACCUCGUAACUAAUUCAAUCAUUUGUAUGACUCUACUAUAUGGCAUGUAGUAUAGUAUGACAGUUUUAUCUUUAGAGUGUCAACAUCACGCGCACGCGCCUGGAGGGAGAUUUCGGUCACGUUUGUGCCCAAAUUGUCUCAUCCGUCCCGCUUUACUAUAGCAUGGACAUAUUUUUCAUUCUUUUGCUUCUUAUGAAUAUUCAGCAAAUUCACCUAUCGUUCUAUUAGUUUGUAUAUUUUCUUCUUUAUGUACAUGAUUAGACUGUAAAUUAUCUGUAAACUACCAAUACUAUAAGGGGGGUGUAUUCAAUUUGGAGUUUGAGGUGAUUUGUAUUAAAAUGACAAAU
rnacentral:lncRNA from 1 species